UGGGAGCUUGCUCCCUGAGAUUAGCGGCGGACGGGUGAGUAACACGUGGGCAACCUGCCUAUAAGACUGGGAUAACUUCGGGAAACCGGAGCUAAUACCGGAUACGUUCUUUUCUCGCAUGAGAGAAGAUGGAAAGACGGUUUACGCUGUCACUUAUAGAUGGGCCCGCGGCGCAUUAGCUAGUUGGUGAGGUAAUGGCUCACCAAGGCGACGAUGCGUAGCCGACCUGAGAGGGUGAUCGGCCACACUGGGACUGAGACACGGCCCAGACUCCUACGGGAGGCAGCAGUAGGGAAUCUUCCGCAAUGGACGAAAGUCUGACGGAGCAACGCCGCGUGAACGAAGAAGGCCUUCGGGUCGUAAAGUUCUGUUGUUAGGGAAGAACAAGUACCAGAGUAACUGCUGGUACCUUGACGGUACCUAACCAGAAAGCCACGGCUAACUACGUGCCAGCAGCCGCGGUAAUACGUAGGUGGCAAGCGUUGUCCGGAAUUAUUGGGCGUAAAGCGCGCGCAGGUGGUUCCUUAAGUCUGAUGUGAAAGCCCACGGCUCAACCGUGGAGGGUCAUUGGAAACUGGGGAACUUGAGUGCAGAAGAGGAAAGUGGAAUUCCAAGUGUAGCGGUGAAAUGCGUAGAGAUUUGGAGGAACACCAGUGGCGAAGGCGACUUUCUGGUCUGUAACUGACACUGAGGCGCGAAAGCGUGGGGAGCAAACAGGAUUAGAUACCC
rnacentral:rRNA from 1 species